AUUGAACGCUGGCGGCAGGCCUAACACAUGCAAGUCGAACGGUAACAGAAAGCAGCUUGCUGCUUUGCUGACGAGUGGCGGACGGGUGAGUAAUGUCUGGGAAACUGCCUGAUGGAGGGGGAUAACUACUGGAAACGGUAGCUAAUACCGCAUAACGUCGCAAGACCAAAGAGGGGGACCUUCUGGCCUCUUGCCAUCGGAUGUGCCCAGAUGGGAUUAGCUAGUAGGUGGGGUAACGGCUCACCUAGGCGACGAUCCCUAGCUGGUCUGAGAGGAUGACCAGCCACACUGGAACUGAGACACGGUCCAGACUCCUACGGGAGGCAGCAGUGGGGAAUAUUGCACAAUGGGCGCAAGCCUGAUGCAGCCAUGCCGCGUGUAUGAAGAAGGCCUUCGGGUUGUAAAGUACUUUCAGCGGGGAGGAAGGGAGUAAAGUUAAUACCUUUGCUCAUUGACGUUACCCGCAGAAGAAGCACCGGCUAACUCCGUG
rnacentral:rRNA from 1 species